rnacentral:rRNA from 1 species
GACGAACGCUGGCGGCGUGCUUAACACAUGCAAGUCGAACGGAAAGGCCCUGCUUUUGUGGGGUGCUCGAGUGGCGAACGGGUGAGUAACACGUGAGUAACCUGCCCUUGACUUUGGGAUAACUUCAGGAAACUGGGGCUAAUACCGGAUAGGAGCUCCUGCUGCAUGGUGGGGGUUGGAAAGUUUCGGCGGUUGGGGAUGGUCUCGCGGCUUAUCAGCUUGUUGGUGGGGUAGUGGCUUACCAAGGCUUUGACGGGUAGCCGGCCUGAGAGGGUGACCGGCCACAUUGGGACUGAGAUACGGCCCAGAAUGCUACGGGAGGCAGCAGUGGGGAGUAUUGCACAAUGGGCGGAAGCCUGAUGCAGCAACGCCGCGUGCGGGAUGACGGCCUUCGGGUUGUAAACCGCUUUCGCCUGUGACGAAGCGUGAGUGACGGUAAUGGGUAAAGAAGCACCGGCUAACUACGUG